GCUCAGUGCGGGGUUUAGUCAGGAACUAAUAACCGGGACAUGACACUAGGAUUUUUUUCGUGUUGCGCUUGAAGUCUCCAUCGGUGUGUAGAGUUCUAGGUAUACAGUUGAAAAGACACUAAGUCACACGCUAUAAUCUGUCAACUUUUGAGCAUAUCUUUUUCACCGUGCAUAACUGACAAAUGAAUUUGUUUUUGUUUUUCUCGACCUUUGUCAAACAAAAGUUGUUUUUCUUUUCCGUUUUUCAUUAAUUAAAUUAUUUUGGUUUGCGUUUUUAAUUUUAUUGAACACCUACGACAAUCUGUUAAUUUACACUAUGCAAAAGGAAAAAGUGUUGGAAAUUUACAGCCAUCUCCUCACGGCGUAUGUCCGACUUUCCCGCUUCACUUCCAUUGGCAGCUUAUUCCAACACGAUGGUCCAUACACUAGCACACUUUUCCUGCUAGAUGUACUAGAGAUGUUGAAACCUCUUGUGCUUUCCAGCUGCGAUCGUAUACGGGUAGUGUUCCGUCGAUAGGAUUUUUCAUAAAGCCACAAAUCCGGAAUCGGUAUAGUUGUGCGGUAGAUCGUGCCCAAGAAUUUCUUUCCGUUAUGCUGCAGUCGUGUCUCGAUGACGAAGGCGGAGGAUGAAACGGAUAGCUGACGAUGGAGGUGCUCUUUGAGCGCAGCAGACAGACCCGGGUAGUAUACAUUACAUAGCAGCAGGUGAAGAAUGGCACUACAGUCGAAUUUCGUUUGUUGGGCUAUCUUUAAGUGGGCUUCGUUAAAACUGGGCUCCCGUUAGUUGGGCUACAGCCCACUUACAUCGAAGUCAAACGUCUUUUUUGACAGUGUCAAAUUUCUGUCAAGGGGUUCGGGGAUGUACAACUUGAAUAGCCAAAUAAAAAUUAAAACAAUUUGAAA